rnacentral:rRNA from 1 species
AUUGAACGCUGGCGGCAUGCCUAACACAUGCAAGUCGAACGGCAGCACGGGUGGUUGCACCUGGUGCCGAGUGGCGAACGCGUGAGUAAUACAUCUGAACAUGUCCUGUAUUGGGGGAGAGCCCGGCGGAAGCCGGAUUUAUACCGCAUACGCUCUCCGGAUGAAAGCGGGGGACCUUCGGCUCUCGCCCUUGAGCGUUGGCCGAUGGCUGAUUAGCUAGUUGGUGGGGUAAAGGCCUACCAAGGCGACGAUCAGUAGCUGGUCUGAGAGGACGACCAGCCACACUGGGACUGAGACACGGUCCAGACUCCUACGGGAGGCAGCAGUGGGGAAUUUUGGACAAUGGGCGCAAGCCUGAUCCAGCAAUGCCGCGUGUGUGAAGAAGGCCUUCGGGUUGUAAAGCACUUUUGUCCGGAAAGAAAACCUUGGGCCUAAUACGGUCGGGGGCUGACGGUACCGGAAGAAUAAGCACCGGCUAACUACGUG